AGAAUUUAUAAAACAGAUUGAAACGACAGGAAAUCUGUUCAUGUAGAAAGCAAAAACAAGAAAAGGAAAUAAUAAAACUAUUAAGUAAAAGAGGCACUUUUAAUCAAACAUCCUAUAAUUUUUCACUGGCUUUAAAACAAAAUUCAAUAUAACACUGCCUCCAAAAUGUACUGGCUCAACCUGCUCGUAGUACUGUUUUAUUUUUCAUUUUGUUCUGAUUAAUGUCUAUAUCCAUGAAUUCUGUAUAUCUUUGUAUUGUUAAUGUGAUUGAACAAUGGUUUCUAUGGAAGAUUUACUGCGGGAGAUAAUUUGAUCGUUACAGCUUCAAUGCUGGCACUUAGAGUGACGUUCAUAUAAUUUUGUUUUAUUUUUUUCUGGGCAUGAGCUGAGUAUCCAUGGCUUCAAAGUUAUCAGUCCCCUUAUGAUAGACAAGCUAUACGGAUUCUGAUGUCUUGAAGAGUCUAUUUACAGCUAACAGACGGCUUGCUAUUCGACAACCUUACUUUUUUUGCACAUGGCCAAGCUAUUUUAAGUUCAGGUGCUGAAGUUUGAGAUAAGAAUUAAACUAUGCCAUGCUAAACGAGAUAUUCACACAAAGACGAAGGAAUCUUCCUAUUUGUUGAUGUGUAACACCUUGAAUAGCCUCAGAUUUGAUAUUUGCUAAUUUAAGUGGUGGGAAUUAUUUGAUAGCUCCAAUUAGGGUUCCUGAAUGACUCCUUUGACUGUUUGUUCUUCUGCAAUAUGCAUGUCUCACCAAACGGUCUCUGUAUGAAGUCUGUAUGCGCACGCUGGAGUGAGAAGGACAUAUAAGUUUUCUUUCUUUGUGUUAUUCAGUUAUUUUUAGAUUACUAAUUUAUGCGGUAAAGUAGAAUGAUUAAGAAUUUCAAUGGUUGAAUUAGUUUACAUUUCUUUAAAAAAAUAUGGGGUUUGCUUGUUUUUAGCAAUGGUCAGAUUAGAUUCAGAGAAGUGUUGGAAUUGAAAACCCUAGGCUGCGUUGGCAAGAAUUUCAUAAUUGAGGCAACCCCAGAAACAUGUGACAAGUGUCUAUCUUUGAACCAAUCGUGAUUGUUUAGUCAUAUUUGCUUUUGUUUCAAAUCAUUUAACUGGACACAUAUCGCUUUCAGAAAAAAAGAAAGUCAUUUUGAGAUAAUAAAAUUACAAAAACUUCAAUUUAUAUUGUUUAGAUAUGAACUCUUUCACUUUCAUAUACUGUUUAUGUUAAGUUUGAAUUGCCUAUUGAUUAAAUUAACUUGAAAGUUGAAUCAAUCCCACUUUGAUAGAUGAAAAUAGGAGAUUCAAAGAGCUUUUAAAAAAAUUCCAUAUUAUAUCAUUAUCUAAAGGCAACAUGACUAUUUCGCAUCCAAAGUUUAAUGGAAUAAUAUAUUCUCACCCUUUGAGUUUGAAAAUCAAUUUUCCACUGUAUGUGAAGGUCAAUUAUUAGUUUGAAUGAUUAAAGGAUAUUUAUGUUAUUUUGUCAUAAUUUCAAAACAUG